rnacentral:rRNA from 1 species
AACGAACGCUGGCGGCAUGCCUAACACAUGCAAGUCGAACGAGACCUUCGGGGUUAGUGGCGGACGGGUGAGUAACACGUGGGAACGUGCCUUUAGGUUCGGAAUAGCUCCUGGAAACGGGUGGUAAUGCCGAAUGUGCCCUUCGGGGGAAAGAUUUAUCGCCUUUAGAGCGGCCCGCGUCUGAUUAGCUAGUUGGUGGUGUAACGGACCACCAAGGCGACGAUCAGUAGCUGGUCUGAGAGGAUGAUCAGCCACAUUGGGACUGAGACACGGCCCAAACUCCUACGGGAGGCAGCAGUGGGGAAUCUUGCGCAAUGGGCGAAAGCCUGACGCAGCCAUGCCGCGUGAAUGAUGAAGGUCUUAGGAUUGUAAAAUUCUUUCACCGGGGACGAUAAUGACGGUACCCGGAGAAGAAGCCCCGGCUAACUUCGUGCCAGCCGCCGCAGUAAUAC